rnacentral:rRNA from 1 species
GACGAACGCUGGCGGCGUGCUUAACACAUGCAAGUCGAACGAAGUGGCGAACGGGUGAGUAACGCGUAAUCAACCUGCCCUUCAGAGGGGGACAACAGUUGGAAACGACGGCUAAUACAGCAAACAGAAGGAGGGGAUUGCUUCUGAUUAGCUAGAUGGAGGGGUAACGGCCCGCCAAGGCGAUUAUCAGUAGCCGGUCUGGGAGGGUGAACGGCCACAUUGGGACUGAGACACGGCCCAGACUCCUACGGGAGGCAGCAGUGGGGAAUCUUCCGCAAUGGACGAAAGUCUGACGGAGCAACGCCGCGUGAGUGAUGACGGCCUUCGGGUUGUAAAGCUCUGUUAAUCGGGACGCGGUACCGGAAUAGAAAGCCACGGCUAACUACGUGCCAGCAGCCGCGGUAAUAC